rnacentral:rRNA from 1 species
ACUGCUCAGUAACACGUGAUCAACUUACCCUAUAGAGAAAAAUAACCUCGGGAAACUGAGGAUAAUGUUUCAUAAUUGAAUUGGCUUGGAAAAGUUUUUCAAUGAAAAGGAUAAAACAAAUGGUUUUUAUCUGCUAUAGGAUAGGAUCGUGUUCGAUUAUGGUUGUUGGUGAGAUAAUGGCUCACCAAGCCGAUAAUCGAUAGGGGCCGUGAGAGCGGGAGCCCCGAGAUGGGUACUGAGACAACGACCCAGGCCUUACGAGGCGCAGCAGGCGCGGAACCUCCGCAAUACACGAAAGUGUGACGGGGUUACCCAAAGUGUUCAAUAGAACUGUGGUAGGUGAGUAAUGUCCCCUACUAGAAAGGAGAGGGCAAGGCUGGUGCCAGCCGCCGCGGUAAAACCAGCUCUUCAAGUGGUCGGGAUAAUUAUUGGGCUUAAAGUGUCCGUAGCCGGUUUAGUAAGUUCCUGGUAAAAUCGGGUAGCUUAACUAUCUGCAUGCUAGGAAUACUGCUAUACUAGAGGGCGGGAGAGGUCUGAGGUACUACAGGGGUAGGGGUGAAAUCUUAUAAUCCUUGUAGGACCACCAGUGGCGAAGGCGUCAGACUGGAACGCGCCUGACGGUGAGGGACGAAAGCCAGGGGAGCGAACCGGAUUAGAUACCCGGGUAGUCCUGGCCGUAAACGAUGCAUACUAGGUGAUGGUACGGCCAUGAGCCGUAUCAGUGCCGUAGGGAAACCGUUAAGUGUGCCGCCUGGGAAGUACGGUCGCAAGGCUAAAACUUAAAGGAAUUGGCGGGGGAGCACCACAAGGGGUGAAGCCUGCGGUUCAAUUGGACUCAACGCCGGG